AAUGAACGCUGGCGGCAUGCCUAACACAUGCAAGUCGAACGAUACCAGCACCUUCGGUUGCGCAUAAGGUGGCCAAGGGCUGGAUAACACGUGGAUAACCUGCCCCCCUCAUUGGGAUAGGCACUAAAAACGGUGGAUAUCACCGAAUACUUCAUGCCUCCCCCAUGGAAGAGCCGAGAAUGCUCCGGCGGGGUGGGAUGGGCCCGGGGCAUGUUAGCUUAGUGGUGGGGUAAUGGCAUACCAAGGCAAGGCUGGGUAGCGGGGUUGAGAGGACGACCAGCCAGAUUGGGACUGAGACACGGCCCAGACUCCUACGGGAGGCAGCAGUGGGGAAUCUUGCACAAUGGGCGAGAGCCUGAUGCAGCGACGCCGCGUGCGGGAUGAAGGCCUUCGGGUUGUAAACCGCUUUCAGCAGGGACGAGGCGAAAGUGACGGUACCUGCAGAAGAAGCCCCGGCUAACUACGUG
rnacentral:rRNA from 1 species